UCGCGCCCUGGGCCAAAGGCAGGCGCCAAACCGCUGCGCCACCCAGGGAUCCCCCCAUGUUUCUGUUUAGAUGCCCCAAGUCACCUUCUAAUCUUCUCAAUGUGAACAAAUACAAUGAUUUCAAUAUUGGCAGUGUCAUACUCAGGGACCAUGUGGCUUGAACGUUUGCCUUUCUGUGUUUUAGAUUGGAACCCCCACGUUGUAGAUGAACACAAAGAACAUUUCUAGGAAAUACAAAGUAGGCAGAUGCUUUCCAAGAUCCAUACUCUGAGUAUAGGAUGUUCUAGUCUUUUUGGAUUUAAGGAUGUUAUUUAUUCACAAUUAUCAAGGGCUGUGAAGCUUUGAGGGAAUCACAGAUCAGCUUGUAUGAUGCGACAUAUAUAAUUCAGCAAUGGCUCACUAGACCUGGCAUUUGCACCUUUGAAUUUCUGUAAGUCACAGUUUUUGGAGCACAGCACUCUUCCUAGGUAGGAACAGAUUUCAUGUAGAAAGCGUGUUUAGAGCCUGUACUUGUAAAUGCUGGCAAACCUUUUGAUUGAUGUUCAAGUUGAGCAUUGGAGAAGAAGAAAAAACAGGUAGGAGAUAGCCUUGAAUCCCUCAGAAUAAAUACCCGACAAUUAAACAAACAAACAAGAAAAACCCAACUAGUUUUUUUUUUUUUUCACAAGAUAAGUGUUUCUCUUUUGAGAGCCUGCAGAGUUUAUUAUUCUGUUCAAACUUAAAACAUCAGUCGAAAUCCCAGUAGUGCAGGGGUUUGAAAUCAACAAACUAAAGAAGCCUCAAGUGACAGCUGCUGUUGUUUUGGGAAUUAUCAUGUUUGGCACACGAAGAGAGCACCUGAUGAGGACAGGCCCGCCUAUGACCUAUGUGAAUGGGACAGACUCACAAGGCACAUAAGUCUACUGGGCCUUGGAUAUGGUCCGUAAGAAGCUAGUUAUGAGUGACGUGGCUCAUCAUCCAUGGACACCGCUGGAGUGAGGAGAGCCCAUUGGGAGAGAAGGCUGCUGGCAGGACCAAUGCAGUGGAGACAGAUGAAUUGUAGUCCUCAGCUGAUUGAAAAUAAAAAUAGGUGUAGAUUUGGGGCUGGUGACUUCCGUAAGUCCUGAGGGGGCUACAUACCACUCUGCUCUGCGAACGGAAAUGAAGAUACCCAGCAGGGGUUUUCCCUGGUCAGCCUUUACCCUCUGUUGUGCUGUUUUACAGUUAGUGAAAUUUUCUUCUAGUAGCAUUGAUGGAUCCGUUGGGACUAGGAUCAAAUUUAUCAUAAAUAACAGGGAUACUUCCUGCUUGUAAAUGGGAUAUCAGAGAUGAUGGUGGUGAUGACACUAAUUAAUAUUAAUAAGUAAAUAACAUUAUUGAACAGUUAACAUGUACCAGAUAUAAUUCCCUGUGCUUUACGUUUAAUUCUAACGAUCCUAUAGUAAGUGCCAUGAGCCCUGUUUUAUGAAUGAGGAAAUGGACAUGCAGUGAAUAUCAGUCACUGACCCAGAGUCACCAACUGGAAAGUGAUGUAGUUGAGGGUUGAGCCAAAGUCAUCUAGGCUUGGAACAGGUGCGGUGAAAAGUGAUCUAUUUCACAUGUAAACAGCUGCCAUGAACUUAUCUCUCUUGACUUUGAUUCUGGAAAGAGGGUGACUAGUAGAUGAUCUAAGUUUAAAUUCUAAGCCCUAGAGUCAGAAUCGUCUUUCCUUAGUUGCAGCUCGAAAAACAUCCUCCAGUAAGCAUGGGUCUUUCUUACGGUUCUCACAUCUCAGACUGGGAGUGUCCAGUGAGGCCAACUUCCCUGGGAAUCUUCAGGAAAUAGAAAUAACCAGGGGAAAAUGAACGGUAAUUACCUAGCAUUAAGUUGAGACCUUUUGUGUGAAAGGCAUGUGAAGAUAGGUCUUUCAGCGACUUAAUGAGCCUUAUCACGGGCCUUCAGCUUUUCUGAAUAAAUUUGGAGGUAAUAAAAUGUUGGACCUUGCUUUCAAGCCAAAUUAUACUACAACAUCAUUUGGAAAGACCUUUGGAACAAGUGCCUAAAAGUUUUUUCCUCUUCCUCUCUGAAGAUAGAAUCAGUUUCUCCUGACUAAUGAGAACCCAGAGUAAUUUCAGAAAAUGCCAGUAAAUAAAAGUAUUUAAGGAAAUGAAAUCAAAUCUGAUUUGUAAAAAUGAACUCAAAGGAGUGCUGUAUCCUGUUGGCCCUUCACAGCUUUGUUCAUUCUUUCAGCAAAUAUAUUUUAGAAUCUCCUAACUGCUGCCAGGCACCAAGUUAGGCACUGGUGAUCCUGCAAAGAACCUGAUAGACAAAGGAGUGCUACACAAUUAGUGGGAGAACGAAGGGGAAGUGAUUAGAGAUUUUGAAAAGUGCUAGGCAGGCAGUCAUAGGGAGCUGUACUGGAGAGUGAGGGCCUACCCAGCUAGGUCAAGGACAUAAUAAGCUCACAGGAGAUGACAUUUCAUCGAGAUCACAACCUCAUAACCUCCCAUCAGAUAAAACUAUGUCAGUGUGUAUGUCUGUAGAAGAAUAAAUGUCUAUUUUAGUGACAAUGUAUUCAGUCUUUUUGUAUGGUUUUAUAUGUCCACAUUUACAUCCUUAUGCCCUCUUAUAUCUCCCUGUGACAUCCAGAGCUGUCCAGGGACUUUUUAUAUUACAAAAUAUACAGACACUCUUUUUCAGACUAUGUACUCACUCUUCUAAAUCAAUUUCUGGCAUUGUAUCUCAUGGCUCAUUUGCUACAAAAGUCAGGUGAUUUUAGUUAAUAUAGGAAGAAUUUCAGGACAGGAAUGAAUCUACCCCAUUUUCCAUUCUGUGGUACAUUUGAUUGAGUAAACUGAAUUUAAACAGAAGGCACCCGCCCCUCAAGCAAAGUGAUCUCUCUUGGGUGAAUUAAAUCAUGUGUCAUGUUGCUUAAAAGAUGUUGCUACUCUGUAGAAAUGUUGAGGGGGGCAGAAAGCAUCACAAACUUUACUCCCCCAUUUUCUGUUUGUAUUCAUCUUUUAAAAUAGUACAAGAGAACCCAUUGUUAAGAGUAAAAUGAUUGGAAGCUUUCUUUAAAGUUGGCUCAUUAUAUUUUUUGUACUGUAAACUAUCUGGUAAAUCUAAUUUAAAUGCAAUUUUGUUUAAUGACUAGUGUUGAUACCAUGAUUCAUCACUCAUUUACUUAAUUAGUAACACUUGACUUUAUGUACCAAAAAUGUCCAAUUUGCACACUGAUAUUUUUUCAGUUAAAUAAAAUUAUGUUUUGGGAA